rnacentral:rRNA from 1 species
ACUCCUACGGGAGGCAGCAGUGGGGAAUAUUGCACAAUGGGGGAAACCCUGAUGCAGCCAUGCCGCGUGUGUGAAGAAGGCCUUCGGGUUGUAAAGCACUUUCAGUAGGGAGGAAGGUAGUGUAGUUAACACCUGCACUAUUUGACGUUACCUACAGAAGAAGCACCGGCUAACUCCGUGCCAGCAGCCGCGGUAAUACGGAGGGUGCGAGCGUUAAUCGGAAUUACUGGGCGUAAAGCGCAUGCAGGCGGCCUGUUAAGUCAGAUGUGAAAGCCCGGGGCUUAACCUCGGAAUUGCAUUUGAAACUGGCAGGCUAGAGUCUUGUAGAGGGGGGUAGAAUUUCAGGUGUAGCGGUGAAAUGCGUAGAGAUCUGAAGGAAUACCAGUGGCGAAGGCGGCCCCCUGGACAAAGACUGACGCUCAGAUGCGAAAGCGUGGGGAGCAAAACAGGAUUAGACACCCUGGUAGCACAGAG